AUCCCAUGAUGAGGACACUCGAUAUGUAAUCUUGAAUGCGCUCCGAAGCUUCUGGUACUAUCUCAUCAUGCUAUUGCUGAAAGCUUGAUAUCUUCCCACACAGAGCAU
rnacentral:snoRNA from 1 species